rnacentral:lncRNA from 1 species
GUGGUUGUUGACAAUCCUUUUCAUUCCUUGGCUUGUAAUUGUAUGCCUCUGCCUUUACUCUUGUGUUCAUUUGGUGCUCUCUCUAUAUGUAUCUGUGCCUAAAUUUCCCUCUGCUUAUAAGAAAACCAGUCAUAUUGGAUUAGGAACCACUUUAGUCCAGUAUGAUCUAAUUUUAACUAAUUAUAUAGUUAAAGGCCCUAUUUUAACAUAAGCUCACAUUCUGAGUUUAUGAGUGGGCAUGGAUUUGGGGGUCUUCAACCCAGUUUAAGCAUGUAUAUAAUAGUUGACUUAAAGUGUUUUUUGAAAAUGGAAAUUUUUAAUAAUAUAAUGUGUAAACACUGGACAUCAGAUACUCUCCCUUUCUGGUGUUUGUUGCUGCCACUGCUUGUUUCUCUUGCUGUUUCUUAUUAAUUAAUUUUCCGAACCAGUUCUAUAAAGUCUCUGUUCUUUGUCACACGUAUCACUGAAGUCUCUGCUUGCUUAGCUUUGUGGUCACCUAAUGAUUCAAAAGACAUUUCCGUAAAUGCCUGGAAGCAAUCAGUCUUCUAGCCUUCGCUGAUGGGUUCUGCAUAUGAGUUCAGGCAUGCCUUCAGGACUCCACCAGGCACUUGGUAAUUCUGCCUUAUCCUUCACUUUUUGCUUGAGCAGCGCCGAAAGGUGAGCCAGAGGAGGGAAAUUUGGACAUGGACACAUAGGGAAGACAGCCAUGUGGAGACAGAGGCAGAGGUGGACCUGCUGCCGCAAAACCACAGGGCGCCAAGUACUGUGGGCCACUGAGAAAACUAAAGGAGAGGAAGGAUUCUUCCCUGGAGCUUUGGAGAGGGUGCGGCCCUACUUUCACCUGGAUUUCAGACUUCAGACUUCCAGAACCAUGAAGGAAUAAGCUCUCUUUGUUUCAAAACCACUCAGUCAAGGCACUUUGUUACAACAGCCUAGGAAACUAAUACAGGAAUUGGUAUUAGUAAAAUCAUUAUUGUUGGCUCAUAUGACCAUACUCAUAGAACUUUUAAGAUAAUAUGUAAAUAAGCAACUAAAACAAAAAGUCAGAAAGCUUUAUGGUGCCAGAUCAAUAUACAAAUAAAUAUCAUUAUUUUCCAAUAAAAACAAUUAUAUAAUGUAACAAUAAUAAAGUAAUAAUACAAAGAAACUUCCCAUAAUAGCUACCAAAAAUUCUAAAGUAGUUAUAACUAGUUUUUAAAAAUAAUAUGUUCAGAAAUUUUAUAUAAACAAAUAUAAAUUUUAAGUUAAAAAGAAAAAGAAAUGGAUAAAUACAUCAUUAAUGAAGUUUCAAUCAAAAUUCAUACAUGAAUAUUUCACAGAAUUUGACAAGUAUAUCUAAAAAUUAUUUUAAAGGAGUAAAACGAGCUUGGAAUUAUUUGAAGAAGAAAGUAUUUAUCCUUUUGUAUAUUAAGAGUUAGCCUAAGUCUCCCGGGACUCAAUGGUAUCACCUCUCUAACAAAAAAGGUCACAGAGAUAUGAAAACACAUCAUAAAAAAAUCUAUCGUUUUAUCACACAAUGAUUUGAUCACCUGUGCACAUGGAAACAACCUUAUUUUAAAUCCUUGUUUAGAGUCAAUUUUAAGGGAUAAUGUUGCAUGUGAAGCUCCAUAAUCAUUCUUUUGUGUUAAGUGGUUGAGGAAAAUAUCAGGCUGGUGAGAUGUUAAUUAUAGGUCCAGGGAAUAACUUGAGUUAAUAAAUCAGAGAUGAGUCCAAAGUUCUGUAAACAAGUUUCAACAUUUCUGGGCACCUGAGAUUAAGCACAGCUCUGAGAAGUGCUCCACACGUUCCUAAGUAUAUGAUGCAAGUUUUACUUUGGCAAGAAAAUGUAACUAUAUCUAGUACCCACCUUAGGAACAUGAAUGACGAAAUGGAGAUUUCACAUUUGCCAGAUGAAUAGGACUAAUGUAGAAAAACAAAUCAAACUGUCCUUUACUCUCAGUCAACCCCCUUCUCAAUAACAAAAACAUCCACAUAUCCACAUUGUCCAUCUAUUUUAAGGUCAAUAUAGUAUGGAUAUUAUACCAACUUGCAAAAAUAAAUUAAACCACUUACCACAGGUAUCCUCCAACAUCAUUGGCACCAUUAAAUAACAUUCAUUCAGAACUACUUUUAGUGAAUGUAGAUACUUAAUGUUUACAGACGAGGAAAUCUGAAUGGUACGAAACAAACAGAGACUUGUUCAAGGUCUCACACUGACUCAGCAGCAAAGUCCACAUAGGAAGUGAAUGUUCCUGAAGUAGCACAUUUUGUUUGGACUACAAGACCAACUGAGUUAUUAUCUUUAUUUGAAAAUGAUUCAUGCAAGUCUGCCACAGAUGAAGGUAAUGAACUGUAACCUCACUGGACGUGUAAACAGACUGUGACCUACCUACUCUUGUGCCAAUCAUGGAGUUUCAGCCAAUCACAGGCGGCCGGCUGUUCAAACCAUGUUUAAAUAAGGCAAACGCAGAGCUGUAAGCAAUCUAGGUGUUUCUGCACCUCUCGUCCAUUUUCUGUAAGUCCUUUUUCUGUUCAUAAAUCUUCUUCCAUCACGUGGCUGUGCUGGAGUCUUUGAACCUACCCUGCCUCGGGAGGCUGCCCCAAUCAGCAAUUUGUUCUUUGCUCAAUUAAACUCUAUUAAUUUAAUUUGCCUAAAAAUUUUUUAACAAUGUUUACUAGUAAAUUUCAUUUUUUCUUGCAAAAAAGAAAAAAUCCUGAAAACAGGAGUAGGGAAAGAUUGAUGGCUAAAAUUAAAUAUGGUUAACUUUAAUAUUUUAACUUAUCACAAGAAAAUUGCAUUGCUUUGGACUAUAAAAGUGAUACAUAAAUCUUUCACUUCAGUAGCGCCAUCACCAUCAUCAAAUAUUUAAAAACUUACAUAUGAAAAGAAAUAUGGUGGGGAGGGAAGUAGACAGAAACAGUUAAGAAACUAGGACAUAAUAAGACAGCAAAAUUCCUGUUGGUUUAUUUUUUGCUUGUUUCCUUGCUUAGUAUUCUCUGAUAGCCAAAGAAUAGACGAAAUAUUCUAAGAGCCAACGAAUAGACAAAAUUGGGCAGCUGCUUCUGGAAUACAAAGGUACAAAUCCUUAGAAAGUUCUUCUGAGCAGAUAAUCUUCCCAGAGCCUUGACACAAAUGUGAUCAUUAGAAUUUUAUUUCUCUGGGUUAAAAGUAACCUCAGGGAAGACAGCACUGUUGAGAGGCAUUUACAUCACUGAAAAUUAUUUUGGCAUAACAUUUUAAAUAUAAAAACCAGCUUGGAAAAUGAGAGACGCUGGAAAAUGCAAAAGCCUGUGUACAUGGGGCCUAUGCUUUAGGUUGGAGAGCCAGGACCCCGGGCGAGAGAGAACAAGCUAAAUGACCUGAGUUAAGUGACUUGGUCACUGCUGCAAACUUUGCUUCCUCAUCCAUUAAUUGAAGAUAACAAAAGUAAGAACCUAUCGCACAGGAUGGCAGGGAGGACUAAAUUAGCACGACAAUGACCAUCAGAAAAUAUGUGCUCAUUACACAUUAACCAUUUCUCUUCCUCUCGUUCCUCUCCUUUACUUCUUCUACCAGCAUCACCUCCAUUGCCACUUCACAACCUCACUACCCCAUUGCUAAUUUUGUCUUAAGGCAUGCUAGAGGUUUAAAUAAUAAUCAAGUAUACUGCUUUUCACUUAUCAUUAGCAAAAGCUUUUGAACAAGCCUAUGAACAAGAAGAAGCUACGUUCUCCCA